AGAGUUUGAUCCUGGCUCAGAUUGAACGCUGGCGGCAUGCCUUACACAUGCAAGUCGAACGGCAGCACGGGAGCAAUCCUGGUGGCGAGUGGCGAACGGGUGAGUAAUAUAUCGGAACGUACCUUUCAGUGGGGGAUAACGUAGCGAAAGUUACGCUAAUACCGCAUAUUCUGUGAGCAGGAAAGCAGGGGACCUUCGGGCCUUGCGCUGAUUGAGCGGCCGAUAUCAGAUUAGCUAGUUGGUGAGGUAAAGGCUCACCAAGGCGACGAUCUGUAGCGGGUCUGAGAGGAUGAUCCGCCACACUGGAACUGAGACACGGUCCAGACUCCUACGGGAGGCAGCAGUGGGGAAUUUUGGACAAUGGGGGCAACCCUGAUCCAGCCAUGCCGCGUGAGUGAAGAAGGCCUUUGUGUUGUAAAGCUCUUUCGGCCGGGAAGAAAUCGCAUCAGCUAAUACCUGGUGUGGAUGACGGUACCGGAAUAAGAAGCACCGGCUAACUACGUGCCAGCAGCCGCGGUAA
rnacentral:rRNA from 1 species